GACGAACGCUGGCGGCGUGCUUAACACAUGCAAGUCGAACGGUGAAGGGACUGGUUUUGCUGGUCCUGGAUGAGUGGCGAACGGGUGAGUAACACGUGAGUAACCUGCCCCCUUCUUCUGGAUAACCGCAUGAAAGUGUGGCUAAUACGGGAUAUUCUGGGUCUGUCGCAUGGUGGGCCUGGGAAAGAUUGCGCCUUUUUUGGUGUUUUUGGUGGGGGAUGGGCUCGCGGCCUAUCAGCUUGUUGGUGGGGUGAUGGCCUACCAAGGCGGUGACGGGUAGCCGGCCUGAGAGGGUGGACGGUCACACUGAGACUGAGACACGGCCGAGACUCCUACGGGAGGCAGCAGUGGGAAAUAUUGCACAAUGGGCGAAAGCCUGAUGCAGCGACGCCGCGUGAGAGAUGGAGGCCUUCGGGUUGUGAACCUCUUUCGCCAGUGAAGCAGGCCUGCCUCUUUUUGUGGGUGGGUUGACGGUAGCUGGAUAAGAAGCGCCGGCUAACUACGUG
rnacentral:rRNA from 1 species